ACCUCAGCCAUGCAUGCCGCAGCUCCGAUCAGCCUCCUGUGGGCCUGCAGCCUGGCUUUUGUGCCCUUCUUUGCAGUCUCCUGGGAGAUUAAAAUGAGUGACCUUGAGGAGAAGGAUGUUGAUGAAUUCAGCUCCAGUGGUUUUCAAUGCCCAACAUGCUUUGCAGUGCAGAGAAGAAGAUGUGACACAGCACUCAAAUGGUGUGCAGCAGAUAAAAUAAAGUGUGUUGAAUUCUC